rnacentral:rRNA from 1 species
UACGGAGGGUGCAAGCGUUGUCCGGAUUUAUUGGGUUAAAGGGUGCGUAGGCGGCACGUUAAGUCAGUGGUGAAAGCCUCCAGCUCAACUGGAGAACUGCCAUUGAUACUGACGGGCUUGAGUACAGACGAGGUUGGCGGAAUUGAUUGUGUAGCGGUGAAAUGCAUAGAUACAAUCAAGAACUCCGAUUGACGUAGGCAGCUAACUAGGCUGUAACUGACGCUGAGGCACGAAAGCGUGGGGAGCGAACAGG